rnacentral:rRNA from 1 species
CCUACGGGAGGCAGCAGUGAGGAAUAUUGGUCAAUGGACGAAAGUCUGAACCAGCCAAGUCGCGUGAAGGAUGACUGCCCUAUGGGUUGUAAACUUCUUUUAUAUGGGAAUAAAAUGUUCCACGUGUGGGAUUUUGUAUGUACCAUAUGAAUAAGGAUCGGCUAACUCCGUGCCAGCAGCCGCGGUAAUACGGAGGAUCCGAGCGUUAUCCGGAUUUAUUGGGUUUAAAGGGAGCGUAGGUGGGUUGUUAAGUCAGUUGUGAAAGUUUGCGGCUCAACCGUAAAAUUGCAGUUGAAACUGGCGGACUUGAGUACAGUAGAGGUGGGCGGAAUGCGUGGUGUAGCGGUGAAAUGCUUAGAUAUCACGAAGAACUCCGAUUGCGAAGGCAGUUCACUGGACUGCAACUGACACUGAGGCACGAAAGUGUGGGUAUCAAACAGGAUUAGAUACCCUUGUAGUC